CAGCUCCAUGACGACGCCAUCUUCCCUUGACUUAGAGGAGACUCGUGCAUGUCUACCGCAGAAGGUCUGGCCUGCAAGUUCUCUUCUGACUACAUGAAGGUUAACAUAAUACUAUUUGCCACAUGCAUUUCUACAUCAGAGAAGAAUGCUCCGUCAUGAAGAUGCCAUGUCUGUCCAAUUCCACAACAGAAUCAGUUGUCAUUCUGCUGUCCACACCAGCUCUUUGUGAAUUAGUGGGUUGUAGUGAACGAUGACUUUUAAAGCAGGUUUCUAAGCUUAGCACUGUGAAGCUUAGGCUCUGGAACAGGUUAAUGGCUUCUGCCCAUGUGUCUGCCACAGUAUCCUUGGAUUCUGAACCCACACCAAUUGCAAUAAAGAUACUGAAAUACUUGGGUCAGUUUCUUAGUGGACUUUGCUUAUUUUUUUCCUCCAAGAAAUGGGAUUUAUAUAUACUUAUAACAUUUUAAAUAAAACAAUAGCCACUACCAAAACAAAAUUUUUAAGAUUCCGUACAAAAGGGGACAGAAAUAUUUAUGCUCAUUGGCAUUGGUAAGGCCUCUCAGGACAUUGAGAGAUAGCCAAGUACUUACCAAGUCCAAUUCCUAUAUUAUAUGCACAUGGGGACAGCCUAGACUUGCACUGCAGCUACAAGAAGAUGAAUCAGAAGAACCAUGAUGGUGGUGGGCAGUGGGUUUAGAACUCUCUAUGGCUAUAGAAAUGAAGAGAAGGAACAAGUCCAGAAAACUGGAAAGAGUCAGGGGCAGGUUUAAGGAUGAUAGCAUGCUACACCCAGCUUACCUGUGAGACAACACUUUGAUACGGUUCCUUUCUACUUUCUGUUCUGGUCGUUGGCUCACAGGCUAGAUACCAUUUUGCUUUAAAAAGAUACCCUUUAAUGGAGGCUGGUAUGUUGUAAGGAUAACUCCCAUUACUUGGUUCUUGAGGACAGUCCAAAUUAGAACACAUGACGGUCCCAUGUCUUCCAUGUCAUAUACAUGCAACCCCUUUCUCUUACUGUAAGUCUGCAUGGCUGAGGCUCAAUUAAUGCAAAUGUGAACACCCUUCCUCCUAGACAAGCAGACAGGUGGCAAGGAUGCGCCCCAGGAAUGCAUUGCCUUUGUGUGCUAGGUGAGGAGGACACUGUUGAGUGAAUUUACUUUCUGGCAGGGGCUAUAUCUAAUUCUCUCCAUAUUUUUCUGAGAUAAGAGUACUUUGAUAUGCUUCUCUUUGGGUCCUACUCGCCUCUCAGCCAUUCAGAGGUUCUCGUUCUGACCCUCUGUUGACACUGGAGCUGUUUAUUGGUAACGUGGUACUUUCCUUGCUAAUAUAUUACCCCACCACACUGGCUCUCCAGUCACACCUCCUUGGACAGCUUGGAUCAAGGCCAUGAAGAAACAAUGAGCCUUCCCUCUGGAGUAGGUUUUUUUUGUGCAAGGAGCUUGUUCUGCUGUUUCCCCAAAUCUGCCAUCAAAUGAUUAUGAAAUGUCUUCUGUUUUACUAAGGUAUUUUCUUGUAGCCCUGAGUUCGUGGCCUUUGCCCUUUCUCAUAUUUUUUCCUAGCAUUGUGCAGCUGAAGGAAGCAUAAAUGAGCACUUCUAGUUAACAUGCCACAAGGAACAGAAGUUACAUUUAUCCUUAGGAGAAUAUGUCAUUGUAUUUUCUUCAGUAUAUAAAACGUUCCACGGGGGAUGGAGGGAGGAAGGAUGGGACUUUUAUGUAUUAUCGGUGCAUCUGGAGAAUUACAGUAUGUAAUGAUUUUUUGUACUUAAGAAACCAUUGUGUCUGGCAGCGGCCUGAGUUUUACCACACUUAGCACGUCUCAGUCUAUAUUAGGAAAAGCCUGGAGUUUGAAGCUGCUGAUGUAGUCCACUUCUCUGUCUUGCUUGCCUUACUCUUUUGUAAAGGGCUAAAUGAUACAAACAUAGGUAAAUUUUUCCCUCUGAUGUUACGCGAGGUUUCAAUAUAUUUCUAUGUUUUACAGUUUAAAUCAGAUCAUUCUCAAUUUUGAAGAGAACUGGUAUUUUAAGGAGGUGAGAAGACAUUUUAAUAAGGAGAAUGGAGGUGUGCUUUAAAACUGCAGUGGAUAUAAAAAGUCUACAAGAUACUGGGCAUGCAUCAUUACUGAAUCUUUUAUGUCACAAGAUGCUGAUGGUGGAGAGGCAGGGAGAGCAGAGAGGCUGGCAGAGAGGAAAUGGAUACCGAGCGCCAGCCCGCCUUGUUGAAAGAAAGAACACAGAGUUGCAAAAUCAUGCUGUUAUUCAUUACAAGGAAAGAGUCCGGGGCAGCGUUUUGCUGAAGGUGUUAGAGAGGAAACUGUGUCAAUCAGCUGAUGGAGGUGGCAGUGUGAACUCCAUCACCACCGGCUGCACACGCACUUGUGAAUGAUAACAGCUCGCCUGAGAAGCAACGGUGGCGUGUGGCAUUGAAGUGCGUUGCAAGAACUUAGAAUUCACAGGAUCUCUGAUGCUCUUGAGACUUUAGCCAUGCUAGUUAAAGAUUAGAACCACUUCCCCAGUGCAGGGAGUCUAGAAAUCAAUAGUACCAAAGUAUAAACAGAGAGCAGAAAGUUUAUAGUUUUCAAAAGUUUAUACACUUUUCUCCUAUGCUGGGGGGGGGGGGUCUGUCUCCAGGAUGUCUUGACAUUUUCCUGAAUUACAUAUGUAAUUUAAAACUGAGACUUUGUUACGAAUAUAGUAGCAGUGAACACGGAUGAGAAAGUAUCCCUAAAAUAGGUGGUAGAGUUCUGUGGGAAUAUGCCCAAAGGUAGAGCUGGAUCAUAUGAUAGAUCAAGUUCAACAUUUUCUUGAGGAACCGCAGCCUCCAUAGGGGCUGACCAAUUCACACUGCCCCCAACAGAGAAUAAGUGCAUGACAAAUUAUAUUUAUUGGUUUCCACAUGUUGAACUACCUUGCAUAUCUUGAACCUAAACUAUGGGGGGUGGAAAACCAACUCGUAUACUAAUAACCAGCACAAAGAAAAUGACCGAAGCCUCUAAAUUUAAGUAUUUUUAUAAAUACUAAACAGAAGAGAGAAAACUCUGUCAAUCCCCACACAAACAUUCUGUCAUCUCAGACAUCUUGCUUCCCUAAAGCUUUCUUUGCUCCACAUUUCUAAUCCCCAGAUACUUACGGCCAUAGUUGUUUAUGCUACUGCCUAAAAGAACAACAACAAAAACUCGUAAAAUUAAUGUUCAACUCGAUUUAGCCAUGAAAUUCUAAUACCAUCAGAUAGAACUCAUGCUGCUCCAAAAAUAAUUUUUGUGUAAUUCUACAAAUAAAGAAACCAUUUAUAUUAAUAAAAUGCUUGUUUUCAGUAUAUUGCAUAAAAUCAAUUUACAUUCGAACACUUGGCCAUUGUAGAGUCAAAAUCUUUUAGAUAGCUUAGAAACAAAAGUCCUGUAGAGAUUAACUGUGAGACAUUUUGCUCUGUGAAGAACAAUAAGACAGAAAUCAGAAUAUUAACAAAAGAGCAAAGCUAUGUUGACAAGUUCACUUUGAUACUGCGGGUCACUUCUGCAUUAACAAUUCUCUAUCGUUGCUGCAACUGACUUUUGGCCCCCAUGGUACUGAUUUACUUAUCCAUUCACUAAAUGGAUUAGUAAAAUUAAUUAAAAUGAAAGUAGAUAGAAGCAUUAAAGUAGCAACGAUAAGGAGAUGAGAAUAUCAAUUUGCUUUUCUUCCCAGUUAAUUCCUAGACUGUAAUUACAAAAUGGGAUUGGGUGACAAUUUUUGACAUGAUUUUAUUGUUAGGAACAUGUGCAUGUGAUGAAUGAGAUAAAUUCUCCCCUAUCCCGAAGUUAAAAUUUAGAAGUAAUUUUCAAUGUUUUAAUUGUUUUUUUCCCUUUUUCCUUAGAAAACAUCCCAAAACCUAUUAUCUCUGAGGGAUGGUAUUUCAGUAACUCUCAGUAAUUCUUCUCAGAAUGUAUUUGGGUUUUAGAGAUAAGCAUCCCCUACCACACACAUAUACACCAAUAAACUAUUUAUCCCUUUAUUGGACUCUGAGAAACCUAACAAACAACUGGGACUGAUUGCAUUCUGGGAGAGGCGGCUUUGAUAAGUCUGAAGCUAGUUUCUGGGCACAAACUUUUCUGGAAUGAUGAUUUUAAAUGUCCUUUCUAUAUUAUUGCUUUAAGAGGAACAAUUUGUCAUCAAGUUAAAAAAACAUUCCCCAUCUCUUAAAUGAAACGCUAUUGACCAUCACUACUCCUUCCUUUGUGCUCCUGUCUCAGUCUCUGGACUAGGGAUCUUAGGUCUUUGGCCAGGACCAGACUUUCACAGGAUUCCACAUGACACGUGACUUCAGACUCAGCACUUGGACAUCAUGAUCCAUGUCUGUCCUGAUUUCUCCUGUGCCCUAAGUUUUACAUUCUAAUGGCUACAACAAACACUGCACCUACAGCCUCAUGUUAGCUGAGGAUCCCCUCAAAUUGAACUACUACUACAAGGUGACUCACACUUUCUUAGUACAGGUUCCCCAAUCUCAUUGAUCUUAGAAUACUUUCAGGCCUGGCACUUACUGUAUACACGAAUGCUCGUUCUUAAAUGUGGAGCCCAAAGAAGGCAUGGGAUUGCAUUGCCUCAUUACCCUGGCUUUCACCCUCACAUCCACAAAAGGGAGCCACAGAAUUGUAUCCUUAGAAUAAUUAAUCACACUGAGCUUUCUAGUAACUCUUUAGCCUCGUCACGUGAGAGAUAAAAAUCUGUAGCCUUCUGAAACCGUGAACACAACUUGAGUAGCUCUGACAGCCUACUUAUUAAUUGCUGCCAGACUCUAAUUGUCAUUCCAUUAACAGUGCCCAUCUGUGGAAGAGUGGAUCAAAUGGCCUCUGCCUUUGCUCUAAUAUAAAUUUAUUUCUUUAGGUUUCAUCGCUGAUCUCCAACAUUCUGAUUAUUUUCAGGCAAUUUCAUCUACAAUCCCAAAUACACUGUAAAAACUGGAACUAAUUGUUCCCCUAAUUGAUUGACUGUCUUACCUCCUGUUGUGUGUAUAGCGGGUAUCAUCUGGCAGUAUGUAACAACAGGAGGGAGGCUAUCAAUCAAUCAUAGAACAAUUAGUUCUCAUCUAAGGUUUUGCCCUCUUUGCCUCCUCGAAGCUUAAAUGUAAACAUUUCUCCUUAGCAGUGGUUGCUAAUGGAAAGACACAUAGGCUAGCAUGUUUGUUUUCUCUCCCACAUGUAAUUUAUAUUAAAUUCUAUAUUAGUGUUCAUUAAAUGAGAGUGAUAUACUCAAGCAUUAGAGGCCCAGAAAGCCUUGCUGUCUUAGCAGUUAGCUGUUAUUUUCUCAGGUAAGCCUCAGUGUGACCUGAGAGGGGAUGCUUCCUUACAAUUCUAUUUUCUUCAUCUAACAAGUCACAGAUUGAAGAUGUACUAAGAAUGAGCUGACUGAGAGAUCAAGUGAACAGAAUUCAUAGUCUUCAAACACACACCACGGCAAGCGGUUUUUACGUUACUUACACUGUCGGAGGCAAUGUUCUAGAGCUACGUCGAUAAAGGAAGACCCUAAGUUUUAACUUUUUUUUAAAAAAAAUUGUUUUGUCAAACAAAAAAAGAGGAAAUUAUUUUGCAUUGAGUAUUUCGUAUAUUAUUCGCCAUUGCUAUGACAAAACACCAGACAAAAGUAACUUAAGGAAAGGAAGGUUUACUUGGGGUUGUGAAUUGAGAGGAAAGUCACAAUUGGGAAGGCGUGGCUUUGGGAACAUGUGGGAGGGGCAGAGGGAAGAUUGAGGAGGAAGAGUGAGAGAGAGGAGGAAGGGAAAAGAGGUGGGGAGAAGGGAGGAGGAAGGUAGAGGAGGAGGAGAGGGGAGAAGGAGGCAGAGGAGGGAGGGGAAUGGUGCUGACACUCAAUAAGCAUUUUCACUUUUCCUUUAAAUUCUGAGACCAACCUCAGACCCUGGAAUGGUGGCAUCAACUGUUGGGAGCUAUGCCCUUAAAACCCUCCAUCAUUGAUGUUAAUAUUAGAGUUAAGAUAAAAUGGAAAAAUGCCUAAUGAUAUGACAAACUUGUGAUCUUUCUGAGAAACCAAUAUCCUGUUGACAUCAGCCAAUUUCCUGACCACAAGAGCACUGUGUCCUUGGCUUGAGUAAAUGUUUCCCGCUUCGCCCCUCCCUCUGCUACCCCUGCUAUGGUAUAAAUUCAGCCUUGGGAAAAAAUAAAAUUUGUAACCUCAAUCAGACUCUUGUCUUGUUGUCCUUCUUCGAGUCUCUUGUCCCCCAUUCUUUCCUAGGUGGUCCCCAACCUCCGCUGACUGCCCUGCGUGGAGGAGCAAUCAACAUUUUGUGUUGGUGGGCUUUCCCUUUUCAGCUAAAUAUUUGCGGGACAACCUGGUAGAUAUGCCCAGAGGUGUCUCCCGAGUGACUGACAAGAUUAAGAUUCACCCUCAAAAGACAGUAACUUGGUUUUUGUAUUUCCAUCUUUGGUUUCUCACAAGUUAGCCUGUAAAUGCAGGUGGAUUAUGGGACAGCAAGGGGAAAAGGCCUUUUAAUACACUAGACUCACCUCAUCAAGGUUGGCUCUAUCUAGCUUCAGUAUAUGUGUAUGUGUAUGUGUGCAUAUGUGUGCAAAUGUGUAUGUGUAUAUUUUUCAAAGCACAAGGAUUACUAGCUCUCUUCUUAUUUUCUUAUGUACAAAACAGUCUUUAUGUUCCUGAAAUUCUGCAAUGUUUUACUCCAACAGGCUAGUUUAUUUGUAGUUCUCUCUCUCUCUCUCCUCUCUCUCUCUCUCUCUUCUCUCCUAGGUUAUGUGUGUAUUCUCUCUCUCUCUCUCUCUCUCUCUCUCUCUCUCUUCUCUCCUAGGUUAUGUGUAUAUUCUCUCUCUCUCUCUCUCCUAGGUUAUGUGUAUUCUCUCUCUCUUUCUCUCUCUCUCUCUUCUCUCCUAGGUUAUGUGUAUACUCUCUCUCUCUCUCUCUCUCUCUCUCUCUUCUCUCCUAGGUUAUAUGUAUAUUCUCUCUCUCUCUCUCUCUUCUCUCCUAGGUAAUGUGUAUACUCUCUCUCUCUUUCUCUCUCUCUCUCUUCUCUCCUAGGUUAUGUGUAUAUUCUCUCUCUCUCUUCCUCUCUCUCUCUCUUCUCUCCUAGGUUAUGUGUAUAUUCUCUCUCUCUCUCUCUCUCUCUCUCUCUCUCUCCUAGGUUAUGUGUAUACUCUCUCUCUCUCCUCUCUCUCUCUCUCUCUUCUCUCCUAGGUUAUGUGUAUACUCUCUCUCUCUCCUAGGUUAUGUGUAUACUCUCUCUCUCUCUCUCUCUCUCUCUCUCUCUCUCUCUCUCUCCCCCUAGGUUAUGUGUAUACUCUCUCUCUCUCUUUCUCUCUCUCUCUUCUCUCCUAGGUUAUGUGUAUAUUCUCUCUCUCUCUCUUCCUCUCUCUCUCUCUUCUCUCCUAGGUUAUGUGUAUAUUCUCUCUCUCUCUCUCUCCUAGGUUAUGUGUAUACUCUCUCUCUCCUCUCUCUCUCUCUCUCUCUCUCUCUCUCUCUCUCUCUCUUCUCUCCUAGGUUAUGUGUAUACUCUCUCUCUCUCCUAGGUUAUGUGUAUACUCUCUCUCUCUCUCUCUCUCUCUCUCUCUCUCUCCUAGGUUAUGUGUAUACUCUCUCUCUCUCUCUUUUCUCUCCUAGGUUAUGUGUGUAUUCUCUCUCUCUCUCUCUCUUCUCUCCUAGGUUAUGUGUGUAUACUCUCUCUCUCUCUCUCUCUCUCUCUCUCUCUCCUAGGUUAUGUGUAUUCUCUCUCUCACUAAUUCUAUCUUUCACUUUUAUGUUUAAUACUCAGCAAAAACCUGCUUCUUUUCAUGUGUCAUUAGACCCAACAUAAUAUAACUACAUAAAGAACUUAAAUAUAGACGUUUAAAAAAUUGAUUAAAUGAAAAAAUGAGUUAAAUCUUGGGCUUCUGAAAGGUGAUCAACAAUUAUAAGGAAGCUUUUGAGUGAAGAAUGGAAUGAUGGAUAUGGAAAACUGUCUUUCAAAGGUCUUGACAUUGCUGCUAAUGCAGGUAGGUAAGCUGCCACUAAGCUCAUGAAAGCAUCUGUAUCUACUAUAAUGAGAAUAUAAUAUAAGACCUUAUAAGUACAGAACAGACUCCAUUGUGUAGCCUGACAUGCCCUCCCUCACCAUUACAAGCGGUAGCAGUUAAGUAUGCAAAAUAGGCUUAGUUAACAAGAGGGAUUUUCUCAUUUACUUGUAUUUUAAUCAGGGCUCACAGGUUAACAGAAUUUAUGUAUUAAAGUCUAUCCAAGUAGCUUACUGAAAUGCCAAUUCUAUAUCUAUCUGACUGGCAUUAAAUCCACAAAGGCAAGAGUCUAUUGACAACUUGACCUCAGCAUUUAAAGUGUUCACACCAACCGAGAAUUGGUUUGGGCAGCUUUAGGCAUCAAACCCACUCAAUAGGGUAGACGUGUUAUGUCCACUACUACAUGAAUAUAGGUUAACAGCUGGAAUUAGACAAACGAUAUGCAGGCAUAUAAAUGCCUUUUGUAAGUGACACACCCUUCGCUUUCAAUAAUUGACUUUUUAAAAGUAGGCAUUAGUGUGUGUCGGUAAACCCAUGUGUAUACUCGCAUGGGAUCUCAAAGUGGAGUCCCAGGGCCAUCUGUGUGCACAGCACUGGUAAUUUGCCAGAAAUAAACUUACUCAAGCCUCCCCCUCGAUGUCAUGGGAGCAGAGGUGUGACUGGCCUUCAGAAAAACCUGCAAGUGGAUCCAGAGUGAUUACGGGGCAAGUUGAAGGGAGAAACUGGGGCGCAGAUAGGAUCAUAUUUCAUUUUUCAUGUGUAUGAAAUUAUAAAAGAAUUAAAAAACACACAAGAAUAAAAAAGAAGGCCUUCAGGUUAUUCCUGAUUGCCUCUUCAAUAGUUGUCUAAUUCCACAGAGGGGACACUAUGUAUCACAAAAGGUAAACAGGAACAAUUGCAGUUUUCAUUUCAUCUAACCAAAAGCUGUUAUUUUGUGUUUAUUUCAAAUUAAGAGUUUUUUGAAUUAAAUAUUUCUUAUGUUAUUACUGAGAAACAGAAAAAAGAACCCUAAAUUUAAAGGGAAUCUCGUCCACACGGUAUAGACUAUGUCAGGGCUGGGGAGAUGGCUCAGUGGUUAAGAGUGCUUGCUGCUUUUGUAGAGUACCAGAGUUCAGUUCCCAGAAUCCAUGUCAUGGCCUGAAACUCCAGCUCCAAGGGAUCCACCACCUUUUUCUGGCCUCCAUGGGCACCUGUGUAAAAGUGCUUACCCUUGCACAAAUACACAUACAGGAAAUAAAUAAAAUAUUUAAAAGUAUAAAGGGUACACUAUCAUUAUUUAUUGUGCAUCUUCAUUCUGUAUAGAAUACAACCUCUCUAAGUAAAUCUUGAAACCUGUCUGGUUCUUAGUGAGGACUGCAAGUCAUGAUGAGCAGGACACUGAAAUGAAUUCUUUCUGUGAAAUAACCUUGUAUUUCUCUCCCAUUAAAUAAUUUAACAUCCCGAGCAAAGCCCACAUCUCUCCAGACCUGCCUUGCAAAAACUUCGUUCCAGCUGUGCCCAUCGCUUUGAUGCGUCUGCAUCCAUGUUAACUGCCUCUUUCUCUGGGCCAACUCAGGAAGAAUUCAGUUGUUUUUCUUACUAAUCUCUUAUCGCCUGCUGACAGGAAUUUAUCAUCUACACGUAUUUUGUGAAGAAUAGACAGGACUGUAUAGCUCAUUCCUUGAGAACCAGGCACACAAAGAUUAGUUAAACAUUGUUACUGUUAAUGGGAUAAUUAAUACCACAGACAUAGUUUUCUGUCAUCAAGACAGUUCAUAGUUUGGUGAAGGAGUAGUAUAUUUUAUGUAUAUAUAUUAUAUGGCAUAAAUGUAUAUGUACUGUUAUGUAUGUGUAUACUAUGUACUAUAUAUGACAAUAUAUACUAUAUAUGUAUGUGGUAUAUAUGUAUUGUAUAUACUCUAUCUGUAUAUAUGUGUAUAUACUAUAUAUAGUAUAUAUGUGUACUGUCAUAUAUAGUAUACAGGACAAUGUAUAUUUUCAUUAUUAUAUUUUGGUAAGGGAAUAAUAUAUAUUAAAUAUAAUAGUAUAUAGUAAAUACAUUAUACCAUAUGUUAUAUGAUAUAACAUAUAUAGUAUAUAUGACAAAUAUAUAUCUUCAUUAUUGGAUUUUGGUAAGGAAAUAGUAAAUAUGAUACAUAUAUAUAUAUUAUAUGGUAUCAAUAGCAUAUAGUAUGACAAGAGACCCUAUGGCUAAUUUAAAUUGAACAAUAAUAACAGCUGAAGAGUAAUCAAACACUAGGAGACUUGAGAAUAAAGCCAAGUGUUUAUAUGGAUGUAUUGAGUGCAAAUUUCUAGCCAGUAAUGUGUGUUACACAAGUACUUGGACUCUACAACCUUAAUCCUUUGUACGUAAUUUUGAUAGGAGAGAACGUCAGCAGUCAUAACUUACGGUUUGGGAACUCUUUGGGUUUAUGAAUUUUAGAAAUACAUAAGCUACAAAGUUCAUGAUGGAUGUGGAAAAGAACCACUAUAAAGCAUAGACCGAUUGUAAAAUGUUUCCAGAAGGGUGGCCAGGCUGGUUUUUAUUUCCAGCGAGUGCUGCAUGUGCAGCAGAUACUAAAAUUGAGAUAAGCAGGGCCACAGUGAAAGCCUAAGUGAGAAAAUCACCCUGCGGAUGCUUUCUAUGCCACACACCCAGCUCUAUUUUACUUACACGAUUUUAGACUCAUGUGAGGUCGUUUUCUCAAGAGAAAUGAAAGAAUAAUUCUAUCUACUAUGCUAUGGAAAAGAUUAAAUGAGGCUCAAAAAGGAAAAAAAAACUUUAUAUUUACCAUAUAACAAGCACUUGAUAAAUAACAGCCAUUACAUUAAUGUUGAGAAAUCGUACUGUUUAUAUUUUUUUAACUAUGCUACUGUUAAAUGUGUCUGUGAUGGUUUCAAUUGUGACUCUCAGGGUCAAACAAUAUCUAAACUCCCAUCAAAAGCCAGCUAAAUGCUUACUUUAAUUUAUAUCACGUCUGUAGUAAGCAAUGCAAUAACUUCCACUCCAUGGAUGAUAGAUCUGAAGGGUGCACAUACUAAGUAGCUUCUAUAAUUAAUACUGUAAACCAAGACAAAGGAGCCAUCAAGUUUCAAACUUAUAAAAUAAUUAUUUCCCUUUCUUUUAACUUUUUUCAUUGAAUUUUUAAUUGAAUUUUCUACAUUUCUAUGUGGGUAUUUUUAUAUAAAUAUAUAUUACAUAAUGAUCAGAUUUCCCCAGACUUCAUCUCUUUUCUAUAUAAAAUCUAGGAAUCUCAAAUAAGAGAGAGUCUAGAUAUUUGUCAUUCGAACACUACCUUACUUUGCUUAAUAUGUCUCCAUUUGUCUCCAAUUGCAUCUCUUUCCUGUGGUGGACAUAACUUCUUUAUGAAUGAACCCCCCUUUCAUACACGAUAUCAAUGUUCCUUAUUUAUUCUUCGUUGCUGGACAUCUCGGUUCUAAGGUUCCAUGACCUAGCUUUUGUCCACAGUGCUGUGAUUAGCACUGAUGGUCACACACCUCUGUAAUAUGUCCAUCUGCUUCCUGUUGGACAAAUAUUCAGGAAAUGGCGUAACUCCUAUAGAAGAUUCUUUUUUUUUUAAAUAUACUUGAGAAACCUCCAUACUGAUUUCCAAGUGGUUGGACUGGUUACCUUCCUCCCUUUGUCUCGUGUGAAUGCACUUUUCCUUUUUUUCCAUUUACCUAAUGGCUAGCAAGGUAGAAAACUUUUUCAUAUGCUUAUUGUCCACAUGAACUUCAUCUUCUGCACCUUGUUCACAUCAUUAGCCCAUUAUUUCUCCACUCAAUGAUUUGAUUUCCUGUUUAGUUUGGAUUUUUUUUUUAGUUCUUUGUAUGUUCUAGAUAUUAAUCCUAGGUCAGAAAUCAUCACAGAACCCCCUAAAGCUCCUAGUGUUGAAGAAAGAAAAUAAUCAGAAAGGUACGAUUGCUCCCCACAUCAGAAAGCUCAAGUGUAGGACCAUUCUCUACUUCCUUACCCUCUAGUCCAUUGGAUGUACUAAAAAUUACGUGUCAGACGUCAGUGUGCUAUGGGUAAACUCAACCUGAGACAGAAUCACCUUUGGACGAUUUUUUUUUUUUAUGAAUUAGUGACUUAUCACAUCUGUAGCUUUCCUAAGACAAACCAUGCAGGUGGCACAUCUCUCCCUGCAUCUUCAGAGACUUGAAGCACUUUUGGUCAUAUCCCUUAGACAUCUGUUCCACAUUUGUUGGAUUUAUCUGAAGAUCUACAUCUACCCAUUAGAGAUUCAUUGGGGUUGAUUGUUUCUCUUCAGUUUUGUGUCUGUGUGUGUGUGUGUGUGUGUGUGUGUGUGUGUGUGUUUGUGUGAAAAAAAAACUCAACACAUUUUUCUUAUAUAAUGAUUCCAUAAGCAAAUACCUCUAAGAACCUUCCCUCAAACUAGGAAGACAGGACAAAGAGUGUCAGCUUGAGAGUCACAUUGUGUGUAUAAUAGUGGACCUCAAAGGCUAGGUGGUACAAAGAAAAAUGAAGGCUGUAUCUUCUGCUUUUACAAACCCUUGCUAAAGAAUAGUCAGAAACACGUGCUUCCCCUCUUCAUUGGGAUGAAACAUGGAUGGAUAAAGAAAGUUAACAGAAGUGAAAACUAUCUUAGUCCUGAGAAAAAGGUUCAAAAUCCAAAUUACACCCUCUUUUGUGCCUUAAGAAAUCAAUUUGCCAUGACCACUUUCACACAGGAUGGAAUUACUUUUAAAUCUGAGAUCUGACUUCUGGAAUCCAAUCAAAACUCUUGCACUAAGAUGUUCCAGAUACAUUUUUUAUAAGUUCCAAAUCCAUUUUUCAUAAGGUCUAAAAAUGGGAAAAAAUCUGUCAUUUGUAGAAUGUCUCCAUUUUAGAAAUAUAUUCUGGUAUGUUGGGUUUUCACUCUAUUACCUGCUCUACAGUCUUUCAAAAACUUGUGGAUCAGUAAGAAAUGGGAACAAACAAUUCUUUAAAAGCAGCACAUGAAGUAUGAAAGUUUAUUCAUAUCAAAUAAAUCAUAAUUAAAGGAAGUACAUCACACUGUUUGUGUGCAUGCUUUGACACGCAUCUCCUUUCCAACUGUGGUGAUAUUAACUAAAUGUAGGAAUAACAAAAUAGAACACCUUUUAAAAUAAUACAAAGGAGAAGCAUCGGACACAUGGGAGAGGUACAAAGAGAAGUUGGUGUUUCAUAAUAGCCAGACAGUUGACUGUGGUAAGUUGUUUUAGAAAACUCAAAAUUAGUCUAUGGAAGAAAAUACUUAUAGGAUAUUCAUUCACAAGGAUUAAUACCAUGAACAUGGUAAGAACUCAGUAGAAAGUGUCAAGUAAGUCAGCUAAAGUGUACAAAUCAUCUGAAGAGACAUUUCGUAGAACUCCAAGAAACAAAUGAAUAGAAAUUAUAGAAAAAAAUAUACAUCAAGAUAGAUACCUGUCAAGAAAAUGUAUAUCCAAACCACAAUGAGAUAUUGUAUCUCAGGGUGGGUGUUAUCAAAAAGGCAACAAGUAGGAGAUGGGCAGCUGGGUCUUUCAGCUAAGCUUUAUAAUCAAGAGGACUUGAGUUUGUAUUCCUAACAACCAUGUAAGAAUCUAGGUGAGAUGGCACACAUCUUCAGCCCCAACGCUGUGGAAGGGAGGAAGAGCUGCAGACCCAUGGAUCUCACUGGCCAUUCAGCAUAGACAAGUCUGUAAGUUCUAGGUUCAGUGAGAGACCGUGCCUCAAAACGUAAGGGAGAGAACAAGUAAGAAAGCCACUUGACAUAUGCACAUGUACCAUACAGCCACAUAUCAACAAUGCUAUGGUCGCUGCAGCCACCGUUCACACACAUGUAUAUAAAGCCAAAAUGUAAGUGUUGACAAGCAUGUGUGUAACAGGAAAGUCUAGAAUACUGCCUGUGGUACAAUAAGUUAGUACAGCCAUUGAAAAGCAGGAGUGAGGCUCCUGAAGAGACUAGAAAUCUCUCUACUGUGUAUUUUCAAACCUGCAAUUAAAUGGGAUGAACAACCACACUUAACAUACCAUAUUAUCAAGCAUUCCAAAUUUGCAUUCUUAUCACUAUAGCUUGGUACCUAUUACCCAUCCUCUUUCCAUCCUUUCAACCUUCGUACUUUCUUGAAAUCAAUAUCCUUUUCUCUCCUUCUGUAUGACUAAAUUAUUUUAACUUUAUGUGAGAACACACAGUGUUCACUUUUCUUUGUCUUCCACCUAACAUCAUCUCCCCACAACCUUUCUCAGCCAUGUUGAUAUAAAUAAUAGGAUUUUAUUCACUUCAUGGCUGAGAAAGAUUACAUCAUGUGUAUGUGUUCAUUUUCUUUUUUUUUUUUUCUCAUUUAUCAGUGGACACCCAUGUUGGUUCCGUGUCUUGGCUGCUGUUAAGCAAGUUGCAGAAAACAUGGCUGUAUAGAUGUCUUUAAAAUACUGACUUCCUUUCCUUUGGAUGUAUACCAAACAGUUGGAUUUCAGGAUGAGGGGAGACUGAUUCUCCAGUGUUCCCAAAGCUGCAGCUCACGACCUCCCUGUCUUCUCACUGUUAUGCUCAAUGACUUUUAAAAAAAGCUAUUUUGGGUGUAGUUCCUGGGCUCUGUCCAAUGUAUUUAUUUGAAUUUAUCACAGAAAUAUUGCCACUUGAAUGCACUUACAUAGUUAUAUAAAACCAGCCAGAUGGCAGCUCCUUGAGGUUUGAGAUACCUUGUGCUGUGAGGGGGUGAGGAAAAAAAAACAAUAAAAAUCUAAAAGCAAUUAUAAACAAAAUAAUGUUUAGAAGAGGGAAAUAUUUUUUGUAUCUAAUUAGCAAAACACUCUGAAGGGAUUUAUACUGAACACAAAUGUUAAGUAAAGGUUUGGAGAGAUCACGUUAGAUGAUCUUUUAAAGAAGAAAACUAAUAAUAUUUACAUUCAUUGUCUCCAGGAAUCAGUGUAAACUCAGAACUAAUAGGCCUAUUGUAUCUUUUCAUAUGAUCAUUUAUGUCUUUUGCAUAGGCUGAGAAAAUGUGAGGUUGACAUUUACUAAUUAUUCAUUUGUAAGGCAAGAGCAUCUCAGUCCUUAGUUGUCUACUGCUUAGAAUAUAAUAAGUUGUAGCUCCAAGAGAAAUCUGGUUGGAAGUACUUGCAGGUGAAACCAGGAGCUAAGGGUUCCAGUCCAACCUGACCACUUAUUGGAUAUUUAAUCCAUGAGGAAUCAUGCAGUCUUUUAGAGACAUUCACAGUUACUGUGAUAGACAAUACAAAAUUAUUUCCCUUUCUCAAAGGAAAAGUUUUGAAAAAGUUUACUUUCUUUCUAGACUCAGGAAAGAUAAUGAAUUUAUACCAAUUCCAAUCUUUCCAAUCUUUCCUAAAGAAAGUCCCAAACAAUGAAGGAGUAGAAGUCAGGCUUCUCACACUCUUGAUGAACAGUGAGAAAAGAAUGCAGAGUCAUAGUUCAUGUGCAGAAGGCAUAAUUAAAAUGCAAACUGAAGGUAUUUCAUGUGGGAUGUGAAAAUAACAAGAGGAAUUUUAAUGUCUAUAAUUGACUCACUGAAUUUUAAGCUAAAAAUUGUACUUAGAAGAGAAGAAAAUUCAGGAGAUAUUACAAAAUUUAUUGCAAGAAAAACUCGAGGGAAUAGUUAGAAAAUAUGAGUACAAGGAGAUUCCUGCCCAGAAAGAAAACUCUAUGUUUUCAGGGGAAAUUGCAGAGCUUGGCUGAGUUUGGUGAGUAAAGGAAGAAGAUAUAAUUACAACACCACUACCAUAGCAAAUCAUACUCCAAGGACAAAAUGCUGUAAGACAGAACACAGCAAUGCCUCAUGUGCAAAGGAUUGCAUUUAUACUCAGGUUGGCCCAAAUAUAAAGACUGUAGGAAGCAGGUACAUCCCUCAUAUUUAAAAAACUUUUUUUUAAAUGCACAUUACUGAAAACCCAGGACCUACCUAAACACGUAGUUCACUUUUAUUUAACAAGCUUGAUUGCUAAAAUAAUAAAUGAUUUGCUGAGAGUCAGCAUGCAGUCAUGAACUUUUUAAAAUUUUCAUUCAUUGCUAUGGAUUCAGCUCUGUGUGUAUGUACACAUGAGUGCAGGUGCCUGUGCAGACCAGUAGAGGGCAGUAUAUCCCCUAGACCUGAAGGUACAGGGGUUAUAAGCUGCCUGACAGAGGUGCUGAGAACCAAACUUGGAUUCUCUAUCAGAAAAUACACACCCUUAACUGCUGAGCCAUCCCUCCUAACCCCAAACAUGAACUUUUUAAGAUCAGGUUUAUAAAGUGUUGUUUGACCACUUUAGCUUAUGUUAUGUUUAAACCGUGGGUACUAUGAUUUUCUAUGAUUUAUUAAAUCACAUAUCUACAUACACAUACAUAGGUAAACAUGCAUUAGUAUGUACAUGUGGAGUCCAGAGUUCAGCUUUGAUGCUCUUUCACAGGAGCUGUCCACUUUACUUUUUAGGGAAAGAAUUUUUUCUAGAACUUGGGGUUUAGGCCAGGCUUGCUCUGUGAGAUCCACACAUCCUCCACCUCCUCAGGGCUGGUAUUACAAGUGUGCAUCCUCCUUCUUGGCUUAUGUGGCACUAGAAUUUGGACUCGGGUUCACAUGUUUCCAUGACAAGCACCUUCAUAAUUGGGAUAUUUCCUCAGCCUCAGUUGAUUAAACAUUGUAAUGAGAUAUUGGUUCUCUAGACUUUGAAUUUUACCACUAGCAAAGAUGUCAGCUGAUCAGAGAGCCAGAUCAUCUCUUCCUCGGUGCAAAGCUAUAUCUAACGUGGAAUGUGGCCAUUUGUUAUCUGGCUACUCUAGGAAAUUUCACUCCAAAUGGGAAUCAGGAAGGUAGGAUGAUUAUUCUGUCAAAUAUGACAUUAGGAUCACUCCCAUAUACAUUAAAACUUGUGGAGAUUUGACCAUAAAUGACAGGAUUUC